rfam:Phlebotomus papatasi Contig32.20, whole genome shotgun sequence.
CAUGAGGCUUCAUUGGAAGCCACCCACCAAUCAAUAUUGAGUUAUA